CAUACAUUGAGUCAGUCACACUUUAGAAGAGAACUGUAAGUCUUGAUUCUCAAAGUUAUUGUCUCUCAUAAGUGCAGAUGUUGCCCCUCGUAUUCAUUACAUUUUCUCUCCUAAAAGAGACUGCUGGUGAAGAUGUCAUAAAACCAGUCUUCACACAGAUGCAUGUUUUGGAAGGAAAAGAUGUAACACUGAUCUGCAACUACACUGAAGCUGUCAACAAUUUACAAUGGUAUCGUCAGUAUCCCGGAUCCAAACCUGAGCACCUCAUCAUGUUCUUUGAGACCAUCCCCAAAUCAGAGGACGCUCUCCGUCUGACCGCUGCGGCUGAUAAAGCAGCUAAAAGUAUGAGUCUGACGAUCUCUUCUACAGAAGUGAAAGACUCUGCCAUGUACUACUGUGCCCUGGUGCCCACAGUGACAGGAAACACAACUAC
ensembl:lncRNA